rnacentral:lncRNA from 1 species
CCUGGGGAAAAUAAAAUCCCAUCUGUGCAUUCACCCACUUGGCAGAUGAAUAGCAAGGUGUGUACAGGAGCUCUAAAGCAGCAACAGGUAGCCAAACUCAGAACAAUGGCACAUGAUAAACCAGAUUUGUAAGUUUUAGAGGAGGUCAAAAGUGAUGAUCAUGUAUGGAUGAUGAAGAUGAAAACAACUGUGAUGAUGGCCAUGUGAGCCAAAUUUCCUGUGAUAGUGAAAUAGAUCAAGAAUCAACUGAUACAGACCCAGGGAAUGCAGGCCUCCUUGAUUCAGAAGAUGAAGAAAGUAGCAAUGCCAAAAAUAUUGAACACACCAUGACAAAAAGGAUGAAAUGAGACUCUGAAGUACUUCUGAUCUCUAGCAUAAUGGAGUAAAAUGGUUCAAGGUGCUCCCAAAAAGGCAACAAUAAAAUGAAAUGAAGUCAUCAGAACAACCAUUUUAAAACUUAAUUAUUCCACCUAAGGUUUACAAUAUACUGGUUAAUUAUUUAUUCAUCAAAACUAUUUAAUUUACCUAAAAAGAUUAAAGAGGACCUAACAUUCUUGAGUGGGACUGCUUUUCUCCCCCACAAGCUCAGUCUGUGUGGUUUUUACCAUUAGAAGAAAAUAGAUUAGGAAAAAUAAACUUCAUUGUCUUUGUCGGGUGGUGGUAGAUUUGGCUAAAAGCACUGCUAGUGAUAAUUUAAAUG